UGUCACUUGGCUUUUAUUCACAUUUCAUACUUCUAAUUGAUUCCACUAAACUCUUGAAAUGGUCCCAUUCUCCUCAUUCCAACCAGUAAAAACAGAAGAUAAGACCAUAACCAUCGCAAAUAAUAAUAAUAAUAAUAAUAAUAAUAAUAAUUAAUAAAAGCAGCAUUGAAGUAACAAGUUUGAGUUUCCGUCUCCCUUCAUCGUCAGCAUCGUCUUAACAAAAUCAACCUGAAUGUCACAAACACACAGCUAGCUUGUGAUAAAUAAACCCUAACUCCAUCCUUUCAUUAUCGGAUUUAAAAGGUUUCAUACUGAACAACACAAAUAAAGUUGGAAAAAGUGACUCGAGCCAUUUUUAAGGAAGUAGAAAUCGAUUGGUCUCGUGGUUGUGGACUGGUCGUCUAUGUUCUGUGCGGAUCCAGCAGCACACCUGCCGGGUCCAGAGGUCCUGCUACGGCCUCUCUUACAGGUCCAGUCUAACUCUGGUCUCCUAAGAAGUGAAAGCAGUGGCGUGGAGAGCUGACACACACGCUGCUUGCUACCAAGUGAGCUACAGCGGGGCGCUACAAACAACAGCCGGCGUCUCUACGACCGAUGGCUUCCACCGAAAUAACUUUGGUUGUGAUUUGACAUUGUUGUAAGUGGGUUAGUGUCACGUGAGGAUUGAUUUUUUUUUUUUUCAGAU